CCUGGCUAGGACGAACGCUGGCGGCGUGCCUAAUACAUGCAAGUCGAACGGUCUUUCUAUGGAAGCUUGCUUCCACUGAGAAGAUAGUGGCGGACGGGUGAGUAACACGUGGGUAACCUGCCCAUAAGAGGGGGAUAACAUCCGGAAACGGGUGCUAAUACCGCAUAGUUUUCUUGAUCGCAUGAUUGAGAAAGGAAAGACGGCCUUUGUGCUGUCGCUUAUGGAUGGACCCGCGGCGUAUUAGUUAGUUGGUGAGGUAACGGCUCACCAAGACGAUGAUACGUAGCCGACCUGAGAGGGUGAUCGGCCACAUUGGGACUGAGACACGGCCCAAACUCCUACGGGAGGCAGCAGUAGGGAAUCUUCCGCAAUGGACGAAAGUCUGACGGAGCAACGCCGCGUGAGUGAAGAAAAGGUUUUCGGAUCGUAAAACUCUGUUGUCAGAGAAGAACAAGUCGGAGAGUAACUGCUCCGGCCUUGACGGUAUCUGACCAGAAAGCCACGGCUAACUACGUGCCAGCAGCCGC
rnacentral:rRNA from 1 species